CCAUCUUCCCGCCCCCAGUCCCACUCUCUAGGCGCCCCUCCCUUCUCCUUUCCAAGGCUCUGGAAUGUGUCACAUGGGAAAUGGAUCAUGUGGCUCAAGGGGAGAAUGUGGCCAUCUUCUCCUUCCCUUCCCCCACUUUUCCUUUCAGGAGCAAAGCAGCAGAAAUCUGUGACCUGAUUGGCUCUGACCAAAAAUCUCCAUAUGAAAAGGGGAAGAUUCAACCACCCAAACCUCCAGGUGCAACUGGAUGAAAAUACCAGCUGUGUAGAACGAUUGUGGAGUGCCAUCGUAGAGCAGAGGGAAGAACACGAGAGAUAAGGAAACUGAGACUCAAGGAGGAUAAGAAGCUGCAUAGCUUUAGAGUGAAAGCUAGGACUUGGAAACAUCUCAUCUACUCCAGAGGAGGCACAGUGUACUAUACUGUUCUUUGUCAUGAAUAAUGGACUAGAUUAAAAUAACUGGUCAAAUUAAUGCAAUGUGAUCCACUACUAUAGUUCUUUGACAGGAGAAAUCUCAAAGAUCUUUUUAAAUUAUUUGAGACCAAAAAAGAAAAAAAAGAAAGAAAAUAAGAAAAGAAAAAGACCAAAUUAUUUAUCUUUUUAAAGAUGAUUGUAUGUGUACAUAAUGUUUUAAUGACAGAAUAAUAAAAAUAAUUUACAAGGGGUUAUAAUCUAUGUUAUAUAAUAUGCUAAUUGUUUUUAAAUGUUACAUUUGUAGAUGGUUGUCGUCUAUCCAAACCCGCAACACCCACAAACACUUGUAUA